CAGCAGCCGCGGUAAUACGGAGGGGGCUAGCGUUGUUCGGAAUUACUGGGCGUAAAGCGUACGUAGGCGGCUUUGUAAGUUAGAGGUGAAAGCCUGAUGCUCAACAUCAGAAUUGCCUUUAAGACUGCAUCGCUUGAACGUCGGAGAGGUGAGUGGAAUUCCGAGUGUAGAGGUGAGAUUCGUAGAUAUUCGGAAGAACACCAGUGGCGAAGGCGGCCAUCUGGGACAACACUGACGCUGAGGCACGAAAGCGUGGGGAGCGAACAGGAUUAGAUACCCCUGUAGUCCCUGUCUCUUAUAC
rnacentral:rRNA from 1 species